rnacentral:rRNA from 1 species
AGAGUUUGAUCGUGGCUCAGGACGAACGCUGGCGGCGUGCCUAAUACAUGCAAGUUGAGCGCUGAAGGUUGGUACUUGUACCGACUGGAUGAGCAGCGAACGGGUGAGUAACGCGUGGGGAAUCUGCCUUUGAGCGGGGGACAACAUUUGGAAACGAAUGCUAAUACCGCAUAAAAACUUUAAACACAAGUUUUAAGUUUGAAAGAUGCAAUUGCAUCACUCAAAGAUGAUCCCGCGUUGUAUUAGCUAGUUGGUGAGGUAAAGGCUCACCAAGGCGAUGAUACAUAGCCGACCUGAGAGGGUGAUCGGCCACAUUGGGACUGA